ensembl:lncRNA
GUUUUGAUAGGUGUUAAACUUUCACUCAAAGCCGCCAGGAGCUGGGUCUUUAAAAUAACCGCCGUCUCGUUACAGAGUGAAAGUAGCAGUUCCUCCUUAAGGUCAGAGAUUGCAGCAUCUGAGGGCCUCUUCAAAAGAAGACGUAGUUGAUGAAGACGUUCUGGAGCAGGACCAGAAAGACCACGACCAAGCAGCCUUGAGAUCUUAGGCAGCGUCUCCCUCAGACCAAAGAACUACAGACUCUUCACAACCUGCUCAAACUCUUGGUACAGGACCUCACCACACGGGUCAAGAAGCAUUUACAAUGUUGGGAAGGAGGAGGAGGAGGAGGAAGAGGAGAGAAUGGAGGUCUCCUGCUGUCCUGGUACCCCAGCGAGAGGUAGAGGGACAGACCGGCCUCCAGCCAGGAGACGCUGCAGCAGCCGCUCCACCAGCGAGCGCUCCGGGCCAGAGGCACUCCCUACAGCUGGCUGGAAAACUGAGAAGGAACCUGACAGCUUACCUUCUCUGCC